GAUGAACGCUGGCGGCGUGCCUAAUACAUGCAAGUCGAACGCUGGAGAUCUAGCUUGCUAGAUCGAAGGAGUGGCGAACGGGUGAGUAAUACAUAAGCAACCUACCCACGAAGACUGGGAUAAUCUCUGGAAACGGGGACUAAUACCGGAUAGGUAAUCGGAAGGCAUCUUCUGGUUAUUAAAGGUUAAAAACACUGGUGGAUGGGCUUAUGGCGCAUUAGUUAGUUGGUGGGGUAACGGCCCACCAAGACGAUGAUGCGUAGCCGGCCUGAGAGGGUGAACGGCCACAUUGGGACUGAGACACGGCCCAGACUCCUACGGGAGGCAGCAGUAGGGAAUUUUCGGCAAUGGGGGCAACCCUGACCGAGCAACGCCGCGUGAGUGAAGACGGCCUUCGGGUUGUAAAGCUCUGUUGUAAGGGAAGAACGGUAGAUAGAGAAUAUCUAAGUGACGGUACCUUACCAGAAAGCCACGGCUAACUACGUG
rnacentral:rRNA from 1 species